rnacentral:miRNA from 1 species
UAGAGUGGGGGAAGGUACUGC